rnacentral:tRNA from 1 species
GUUUUUAGUAUAUUUUUUUGAGUAUUUUUUUUUUUCGUGAAAAAGGAUGAUAGAACUUU